rnacentral:other from 1 species
UAAGGUCUGCGGUGUUCGUGGUAUGAGAAAUUCGUAAUCCACAAAGUAAUAUACGGGAGUGAGCCGUUCGUGAAAAUAGGCAAGGUCUGUUUAUCGGAAAGUCUGAAGUUUCACCUCGCCACACCCACCUGCGAGAAGCGGGUUAAUACUUUUUCAUAUCACGGCACAGGCGGAUUUUUU